GACGAACGCUGGCGGCGUGCUUAACACAUGCAAGUCGAACGGAAAGGCCCUGCUUUUGUGGGUGGCUCGAGUGGCGAACGGGUGAGUAACACGUGAGUAACCUGCCCUUGACUUUGGGAUAACUUCAGAAAACUGGGGCUAUUACCGGAUAGGAGCUCCUCUUGAAUGUUGGGGGUGGGAAAGUUUCGGCGGUUGGGGAUGGACUCGCGGCUUAUCAGCUUGUUGGUGGGGUAGUGGCUUACCAAGGCUUUGACGGGUAGCCGGCCUGAGAGGGUGACCGGCCACAUUGGGACUGAGAUACGGCCCAGACUCCUACGGGAGGCAGCAGUGGGGAAUAUUGCACAAUGGGCGGAAGCCUGAUGCAGCAACGCCGCGUGCGGGAUGACGGCCUUCGGGUUGUAAACCGCUUUCGCCUGUGACGAAGCGUGAGUGACGGUAAUGGGUAAAGAAGCACCGGCUAACUACGUG
rnacentral:rRNA from 1 species